rnacentral:lncRNA from 1 species
CCCCCACCCCCACCCCCCAAAUAAAAAAAAGGUAGCAAACCAGCUGCUUGGUAGAACUGAGGUCAGUUUUAUAGGGCUGUGCUUUAACCGUGAAGAUACCACCCAUGUCUUCACUUCAUGUACACUAUAUUUUCUUCACGUCUACAGUUCUCUCAUGAAUUCCUCUACUGGGGGAGAGGAAUAUGAUUUCUUGUUUCUUGGAUUUGCCCUGCUGUAAAUUGAUUUAUGGUUCAUUUAUCCCAGUAAUAAUCUCAAUCUAGUC